GUACAACGUAGUAGAGUGGAAAAUUACUCUAUAAUUCAAACGUUAUUAGCUUUAGUGUGUCGUUUACAGUAUUCAUUCCACUAAAUAUUUCCGAAAAUACGUAGCAAUUUAUCUCGGUUUGACUAGUAAAGUCUCUACGCAGUGAAAUCAAUGGAAAAGUGUCUUAUUUUUGUGCAAAUAGUUGAACAGUUAUUAAAAAUUGUAUUGUUAUUAAGUGAGAGCGUAUUGAUGUCCAUGAACAAAGCCAGAUUAAGGUUAUUUAUGUGUAUUAUCUACAGAUUUCGCGAUUGAAGAUUAACGGUGACACUUAUCCUUCGUUAGUUGGAAUGCAAGGACGUAGACGAGGCCUAAUGGGGCGACUCACUAGAAGGGAGGAAGGAAGGCGGAUUGAUGAUACAGGGUUAGUUGGAAUGUAGGGACGUAGACGAGACCUAAUGAGGACGACUUCGCUGAAAGGGAAGAAGGAAGGCGGAUUGAUGAUGCAAGGUUAUUUGGAAUGGAAUGAAGGGACAUGGAGGAGACCCAAUGGGACGGACUCGCUGGAAGGCAA